GACGAACGCUGGCGGCGUGCCUAACACAUGCAAGUCGAACGGAGCACCCCGUUCGGAGGCUUCGGCCAAAGAAUGGGAAUGCUUAGUGGCAGACGGGUGGGUAACGCGUGAGUAACCUGCCCUUAAGAGGGGGAUAACACAUCGAAAGGUGUGCUAAUACCGCAUAAUAUGUAUUUGCCGCAUGACAGAUACAUCAAAGAUUUAUUGCUUAAGGAUGGACUCGCGUCUGAUUAGAUAGUUGGCGGGGUAACGGCCCACCAAGUCGACGAUCAGUAGCCGGACUGAGAGGUUGAACGGCCACAUUGGGACUGAGACACGGCCCAGACUCCUACGGGAGGCAGCAGUGGGGGAUAUUGCACAAUGGGGGAAACCCUGAUGCAGCAACGCCGCGUGAAGGACGAAGGUCUUCGGAUCGUAAACUUUUGUCUUUGGGGAAGAAGAAAGUGACGGUACCCAAGGAGGAAGCCACGGCUAAC
rnacentral:rRNA from 1 species